rnacentral:rRNA from 1 species
UACGAAGGGGGCUAGCGUUGUUCGGAAUUACUGGGCGUAGAGGGCGCGUAGGCGGCGUGUCAAGUCAGGCGUGAAAGCCCCGGGCUCAACCUGGGAACCGCGCUUGAGACUGGCAUGCUCGAGUUCGGGAGAGGAUGGUGGAAUUCCCAGUGUAGAGGUGAAAUUCGUAGAUAUUGGGAAGAACACCGAUGGCGAAGGCAGCCAUCUGGACCGACACUGACGCUGAGGCGCGAAAGCGUGGGGAGCAAACAGG